GUUGUAUAGUCAAGUAAUUAAGUGCAUGUGGUGGAUGCCUUGGCAGUCAGAGGCGAUGAAAGACGUGAUAGCCUGCGAAAAGCUCCGGGGAGGCGGCAAAUAUCCUUUGAUCCGGAGAUGUCUGAAUGGGGGAACCCACCUACUUUAAGGUAGGUAUUGCAACAUGAAUACAUAGUGUUGCAAGGCGAACGAGGGGAAGUGAAACAUCUCAGUACCCUUAGGAAAAGAAAUCAAUUGAGAUUCCCUCAGUAGCGGCGAGCGAACGGGGAUCAGCCCAUUAAGUUAUGUGUGUUUUAGUGGAACGCUCUGGGAAGUGCGAACGUAGAGGGUGAUAUUCCCGUACACGAAAGGGCACACAUAAUGAUGACGAGUAGGGCGAGGCACGUGAAACCUUGUCUGAAUAUGGGGGGACCAUCCUCCAAGGCUAAAUACUCCUGACUGACCGAUAGUGAACCAGUACCGUGAGGGAAAGGCGAAAAGAACCCCUGUGAGGGGAGUGAAAUAGAUCCUGAAACCGCAUGCAUACAAGCAGUGGGAGCACCUUCGUGGUGUGACUGCGUACCUUUUGUAUAAUGGGUCAGCGACUUAUAUUCAGUAGCGAGGUUAACCGUAUAGGGGAGCCGUAGAGAAAUCGAGUCUUAAUAGGGCGUUUAGUUGCUGGGUAUAGACCCGAAACCAGGCGAUCUAUCCAUGAGCAGGUUGAAGGUUGGGUAACACUAACUGGAGGACCGAACCCACUGUCGUUGAAAAGCCAGGGGAUGACUUGUGGAUAGGGGUGAAAGGCUAAUCAAGCCUGGUGAUAGCUGGUUCUCCCCGAAAGCUAUUUAGGUAGCGCCUCGGACGAAUACCAUAGGGGGUAGAGCACUGUUUCGGCUAGGGGGUCAUCCCGACUUACCAAACCGAUGCAAACUCCGAAUACCUAUGAGUACUAUCCGGGAGACAGACUGCGGGUGCUAACGUCCGUAGUCAAGAGGAAAACAAUCCAGACCGCCAGCUAAGGCCCCAAAAUCAUAGUUAAGUGGGAAACGAUGUGGGAAGGCAUAGACAGCUAGGAGGUUGGCUUAGAAGCAGCCACCCUUUAAAGAAAGCGUAAUAGCUCACUAGUCGAGUCGGCCUGCGCGGAAGAUGUAACGGGGCUAAAACUAUGUGCCGAAGCUGCGGAUGUAUACUUUGUAUACGUGGUAGGGGAGCGUUCUGUAAGCCGAUGAAGGUGUGUUGAGAAGCAUGCUGGAGGUAUCAGAAGUGCGAAUGCUGACGUGAGUAACGACAAAACGGGUGAAAAACCCGUUCGCCGAAAGACCAAGGGUUCCAGUCCAACGUUAAUCGGGGCUGGGUGAGUCGACCCCUAAGGCGAGGCCGAAAGGCGUAGUCGAUGGGAAAAUGGUUAAUAUUCCAUUACUUCUGUGUAAUGCGAUGAGAGGACGGAGAAGGCUAAAUCAGCCUGGCGUUGGUUGUCCAGGUGAAAGGAUGUAGGCAUGUAUCUUAGGCAAAUCCGGGGUACUCUAUGCUGAGAUCUGAUAGCAAGCUGUACUUGUACAGCGAAGUGGUUGAUGCCAUGCUUCCAGGAAAAGUCUCUAAGCUUCAGUUACACAGGAAUCGUACCCGAAACCGACACAGGUGGUCAGGUCGAGUAGACCAAGGCGCUUGAGAGAACUCUGCUGAAGGAACUAGGCAAAAUGGUACCGUAACUUCGGGAGAAGGUACGCUGUUGUUGGUGAUGGAACUNGCUUCCUGAGCUGACGACAGCCGCAGAAACCAGGCCGCUGCAACUGUUUAUUAAAAACAUAGCACUCUGCAAACACGAAAGUGGACGUAUAGGGUGUGAUGCCUGCCCGGUGCUGGAAGGUUAAUUGAUGGGGUUAGCGUAAGCGAAGCUCUUGAUCGAAGCCCCAGUAAACGGCGGCCGUAACUAUAACGGUCCUAAGGUAGCGAAAUUCCUUGUCGGGUAAGUUCCGACCUGCACGAAUGGCAUAAUGAUGGCGGCGCUGUCUCCAGCAGAGGCUCAGUGAAAUCGAAAUCGCUGUGAAGAUGCAGUGUACCCGCGGCUAGACGGAAAGACCCCGUGAACCUUUACUGCAGCUUGACACUGAACUUUGACCUUACUUGUGUAGGAUAGGUGGGAGGCUUUGAAGCUGGAACGCUAGUUCCAGUGGAGCCGUCCUUGAAAUACCACCCUGGUAAUGUUGAGGUUCUAACUCUGUCCCGUGAUCCGGGACGAGGACCGUGUCUGGUGGGUAGUUUGACUGGGGCGGUCUCCUCCUAAAGAGUAACGGAGGAGUACGAAGGUGCGCUCAGCGUGGUCGGAAAUCACGCGUAGAGUAUAAAGGCAAAAGCGCGCUUAACUGCGAGACCCACAAGUCGAGCAGGUACGAAAGUAGGUCUUAGUGAUCCGGUGGUUCUGUAUGGAAGGGCCAUCGCUCAACGGAUAAAAGGUACUCUGGGGAUAACAGGCUGAUACCGCCCAAGAGUUCAUAUCGACGGCGGUGUUUGGCACCUCGAUGUCGGCUCAUCUCAUCCUGGGGCUGAAGCAGGUCCCAAGGGUAUGGCUGUUCGCCAUUUAAAGAGGUACGCGAGCUGGGUUUAGAACGUCGUGAGACAGUUCGGUCCCUAUCUACCGUGGGCGCUGGAAAUUUGAGAGGAUCUGCUCCUAGUACGAGAGGACCAGAGUGGACGAACCUCUGGUGUACCGGUUGUGACGCCAGUCGCAUCGCCGGGUAGCUAUGUUCGGAAGGGAUAACCGCUGAAAGCAUCUAAGCGGGAAGCCUACCUCAAGAUAAGAUUUCCCUAGGACUUUAUGUCCUCUAAAGAGCCGUUCGAGACUAGGACGUUGAUAGGUUGGAUGUGGAAGCAUAGUGAUAUGUGAAGCUGACCAAUACUAAUUGCUCGUGAGGCUUGACUAUACAACACCCAAGCAGUUG
rnacentral:rRNA from 1 species